AGUGGGGAAUCUUGGACAAUGGGCGCAAGCCUGAUCCAGCCAUGCCGCGUGAGUGACGAAGGCCUUAGGGUUGUAAAGCUCUUUUGCCGGGGACGAUAAUGACGGUACCCGGAGAAUAAGUCCCGGCUAACUUCGUGCCAGCAGCCGCGGUAAUACGAAGGGGACUAGCGUUGUUCGGAAUUACUGGGCGUAAAGCGCACGUAGGCGGAUUUGUCAGUCAGGGGUGAAAUCCCGGGGCUCAACCUCGGAACUGCCUUUGAUACAGCAAGUCUCGAGUCCGAUAGAGGUGGGUGGAAUUCCUAGUGUAGAGGUGAAAUUCGUAGAUAUUAGGAAGAACACCGGUGGCGAAGGCGGCCCACUGGAUCGGUACUGACGCUGAGGUGCGAAAGCGUGGGGAGCAAA
rnacentral:rRNA from 1 species